rnacentral:lncRNA from 1 species
AUAAAAUGAAGGGUCUGCACCAGAAAAAGAAAUCAUUUUUAAGCUCUAUGAUAAGGGUUCUAGGUGGCAUAGUGGAUGUAGCCCUUAACACAGAGUCAGGAACAUGAGGCUGAAUCCCACGACAGAUGUUAACAAUAUGUAUCUGGGAAAAUCAUGACCUCUGUCAGUCUCAACUUCCUUAUCUGUAAACCGGGAAUACAAACAACCUUCCUCACUUGUUGUAAGGAUUAAAUGAGAUAAUAGAUGUAUGACACUUUGCAAACCUUAAGGUGAUGUUUAAAAUUUAGUUACUAUUAUUACACUGAGUGUUAUUGAGUUCAUUGGUUGCAAUGAAAAGCAACAUUAAAACUGAAUAGACUUCACUCAUUCCUUAAAUGCUCUAGUAAGUAGUAAAGGCAAAUCUUCAUUUUCCAGACUUGCACAAAAUGUCCAUUGAAUAUUUUGAAUUUGAUAUACCACUGGUGUCUUCAAUUCGAUAUGUCUAAAACAAAAUUCAGUUUCUUUCUCUCCAAAUCUACCUGUCUUCCAAAUUUCCCUAUCAAUCCCAGAGUCCUGCUCAACUCUUCACUCUCAUUUCAGUAACCAAUCAGUUACAAAAUCUUGUUAUUUCUACCUGCACAGGACUUCCGGGUAAACAUAGCUGCAAUCUAGACGCAAAUCACUUUCUCUCCCAGGCACCAAGAGAAAUAGACUACCUUAAAAAGCAUAAAAAUAACCUUUGGAAGAGAGGAGGGACUCUCCAGUACCCCCACAGAAAUGAAGACUUGAUCUCCAUAUAUUACCCCAAAAUGGAAGUGCAGGGACUACUUCUGAACCAAUCCCAUUAUUUAUGGGCCCAGGAGCUUUGACCUGUUAACACUCCCAAAACUGGCUGGAUCAUCACAUCUGAGAAAACCUAGUAGCCCUCCCACCUGGGGAGGGGGAGAAUGUGGGAGAAGGGACCACCAUAUUAAUUAAUGGUGAAUUUUGUCUGCAUAUCAAUGCUCAGAAUUCCUGCACUCAAGAGAUCCUUCAGGUUCUGCCUCCCCAGGACUGCGAAUAAUAAUCAUCUUCCAUUGUUUCUGGCUCUAAUGUCCUUUCAAGUUUUACAUCCUAUAUACUCCUGAAAGAUUAAAGAUGGAGAGCUGAAAAGGAAAGAAGAGGUCAUCCAGUCCAACUCUGCAUUUUACAGAAAAAGAAACUAAAGCAAGGAAAAUUUAACAGAUUGCCCAAGUCAAAGGAAGAAAAUAAAUGGCAGAGCUGUGGUUCA